CACGUAGGGUGCAAGCGUUAUCCGGAUUUAUUGGGCGUAAAGGGCUCGUAGGCGGUUCGUCGCGUCCGGUGUGAAAGUCCAUCGCUUAACGGUGGAUCCGCGCCGGGUACGGGCGGGCUUGAGUGCGGUAGGGGAGACUGGAAUUCCCGGUGUAACGGUGGAAUGUGUAGAUAUCGGGAAGAACACCAAUGGCGAAGGCAGGUCUCUGGGCCGUUACUGACGCUGAGGAGCGAAAGCGUGGGGAGCGAACAGG
rnacentral:rRNA from 1 species